AUGGUCCUUAAGCUUGACUUCAGAAAGGCAUUCGAUUCAAUCUCCUGGAUAUCCUUAAUUAAAAUUCUUCCGCGUCGUGGCUUCCCAACCCGCUUCUAUAAUUGGGUUGAUGACCUACUCACCUCCGAAAAAACUGCUAUCUCUCUCAAGGGUAUCCCUGGU
rnacentral:rRNA from 1 species